rnacentral:rRNA from 1 species
AUUGAACGCUGGCGGCAGGCCUAACACAUGCAAGUCGAGCGGAUGAAGGGAGCUUGCUCCUGGAUUCAGCGGCGGACGGGUGAGUAAUGCCUAGGAAUCUGCCUGGUAGUGGGGGAUAACGUCCGGAAACGGGCGCUAAUACCGCAUACGUCCUGAGGGAGAAAGUGGGGGAUCUUCGGACCUCACGCUAUCAGAUGAGCCUAGGUCGGAUUAGAUAGUUGGUGGGGUAAAGGCCUACCAAGGCGACGAUCCGUAACUGGUCUGAGAGGAUGAUCAGUCACACUGGAACUGAGACACGCUCCAGACUCCUACGGGAGGCAGCAGUGGGGAAUAUUGGACAAUGGGCGAAAGCCUGAUCCAGCCAUGCCGCGUGUGUGAAGAAGGUCUUCGGAUUGUAAAGCACUUUAAGUUGGGAGGAAGGGCAGUAAGUUAAUACCUUGCUGUUUUGACGUUACCAACAGAAUAAGCACCGGCUAACUUCGUG